rnacentral:tRNA from 1 species
UCGGGAUAGCUCAGUUGGUAGAGCAGAGGACUGAAAAUCCUCGUGUCCCCAGUUUCAAAAAGUAA